AUACAACUUUCAGCAACGGAUCUCUUGGCUCUCGCAUCGAUGAAGAACGCAGCGAAUUGCGAUACGUAAUGUGAAUUGCAGAUUUUCAGUGAAUCAUCGAAUCUUUGAACGCACCUUGCGCUCCUUGGUAUUCCGAGGAGCAUGCCUGUUUGAGUGUC
rnacentral:rRNA from 1 species